AACAGGAUUAGAUACCCUGGUAGUCCACGCCCUAAACGAUGUCUACUAGUUGUCGGGUUUUAAUUAACUUGGUAACGCAGCUAACGCGUGAAGUAGACCGCCUGGGGAGUACGGUCGCAAGAUUAAAACUCAAAGGAAUUGACGGGGACCCGCACAAGCGGUGGAUGAUGUGGAUUAAUUCGAUGCAACGCGAAAAACCUUACCUACCCUUGACAUGUACGGAAGCCACGAGAGAUCGAGGUGUGCUCGAAAGAGAGCCGUAACACAGGUGCUGCAUGGCUGUCGUCAGCUCGUGUCGUGAGAUGUUGGGUUAAGUCCCGCAACGAGCGCAACCCUUGUCAUUAGUUGCUACAUUUAGUUGAGCACUCUAAUGAGACUGCCGGUGACAAACCGGAGGAAGGUGGGGAUGACGUCAAGUCCUCAUGGCCCUUAUGGGUAGGGCUUCACACGUCAUACAAUGGUACAUACAGAGGGCCGCCAACCCGCGAGGGGGAGCUAAUCCCAGAAAGUGUAUCGUAGUCCGGAUCGCAGUCUGCAACUCGACUGCGUGAAGUUGGAAUCGCUAGUAAUCGCGGAUCAGCAUGUCGCGGUGAAUACGUUCCCGGGUCUUGUACACACCGCCCGUCACACCAUGGGAGCGGGUUUUACCAGAAGUAGGUAGCUUAACCGCAAGGAGGGCGCUUACCACGGUAGGAUUCGUGACUGGGGUGAAGUCGUAACAAGGUAACC
rnacentral:rRNA from 1 species